rnacentral:piRNA from 1 species
UGAUUGGUUGUCCACUAUGUUGGACGUUUUGC